rnacentral:RNase_P_RNA from 1 species
UAAGUAGGAUAAAUGGUCGCGGCUGGCAGGCCGAAAGGUGCCAGACGAGGAAAGUCCGGGCUUCACAGGGCAGGAUGCCGGAUAACGUCCGGUGGAGGCGACUCCAAGGAAAGUGCAACAGAAAUAAACCGCCGGCCUGGGGCCGGUAAGGGUGGAAAGGCAGUGUAAGAGACUACCGCCUUCCUGGUAACAGGAGGGGCACAUGUAAACCCCAUCCGAAGCAAGACCGAAACAAAGCAUAUGGCGGCCCGUCAGCUUUAGGUAGGUCGCUGGAGCCUGCUGGCAACAGCAGGCCUGGAUAGAUGACCAUUCACGACAUAACCCGGCUUAUCGUCCUGCUUACGAU